UUUCCGUAGGUGAACCUGCGGAAGGAUCAUUACAGAAUGAAAAGUGCUUAACUGCAUUUUUUCUUACACAUGUGUUUUUCUUUUUUUGAAAACUUUGCUUUGGUAGGCCUUCUAUAUGGGGCCUGCUAGAGAUUAAACUCAACCAAAUUUUAUUUAAUGUCAACCGAUUAUUUAAUAGUCAAAACUUUCAACAACGGAUCUCUGGGUUCUCGCAUCGAUGAAGAACGCAGC
rnacentral:misc_RNA from 1 species